rnacentral:rRNA from 1 species
CAGCAGCCGCGGGAAAACGGAGGAUCCAAGCGUUAUUCGGAAUCAUUGGGUUUAAAGGGUCCGUAGGCGGUUUAGUAAGUCAGUGGUGAAAGCCCAUCGCUCAACGGUGGAACGGCCAUUGAUACUGCUGAACUUGAAUUAUUAGGAAGUAACUAGAAUAUGUAGUGUAGCGGUGAAAUGCUUAGAGAUUACAUGGAAUACCAAUUGCGAAGGCAGGUUACUACUAAUUGAUUGACGCUGAUGGACGAAAGCGUGGGGAGCGAACAGGAUUAGAUACCCCCGUAGUCCCUGUCUCUUAUAC